UCAAACUGCUGAAGGAAUGCAAAUGAGAUGCUUGCUACAGAAGAACACAGGAAAGUUUAUCUUGUUUAAUCGAGUUUAUAGUUUCUCGUGUCUCUGCCUGGAAUAGACUUAAAGGGAGUCUCAUGCAAUCUUAGAGGUUAAUCCUUGUUCACACCAGGUUUGACUCAUAUCAGCCCUGGCGUGCUGUGGUACCUGAAGGCUUCCCUGACAAGGGGCUCUAAAGAGAUGGACUGCCACCGAUCUAGCUGAAAUGAGCCAGUUGCACCUAGCUGAUAAAACCAGAGAUUUACUGGAGCAGACAGGCCAGAGCUUAAACAGGCUUCUCUCUCUAUUGAAACCCCUUCUGUCACUUGAAUCAGUCAUCUUCCCUGUCAGGCGGCAUCAGCUAAAACAAUAGAGUGGCGUCAGAGUUUAGCUGAAAAGAAGGAGAUGUCAGACAACAGAUAAGAGAGCCUUAUUCUGAUCCGUGGGGUUUGGUCUGCUUGCAGUUCCCCGCCUGAAUUCUAAGAGGGUGGUUCCUACUCCAGGUGUAGAAUAAAGCCAUAAAGCCUUUAGAGCUCAGGUAAUGAUAAUGAAUUAGGAGGGGAAAAAUGGUUUCAGUACUGAUUUAAUACAAGAAAUGCUAGGUAAUGGCUAAAAAAAUAAUUUUUCUCCUGUUGGGGUUUCUACCUUCAUUUGUCUUUAAUAUAUCUAUGCUGCUUGAUGCCUAAGCUAUAUUGGUGGACAGAAAUAAGCUCCCAAGGAGGAAAAUGUAAGCUGAACACAUUAAAAAUUCAUUGGCUAUGGUUUCUUCUUCAGGGAGUGAUGGUAAAUGAGGCAAUUGAAUUACUGAAUGUUUUCUGUGCAUGGCCCAAGCCCUGGAGAAAAAGUCUACCCAGGUUAGAAUAGCCCCAAACUAGAAAGCAGACGUUAUGGACACAGUGGAGGAUUUAAAUAAGAUGCCUAACAGACAAGACUUGAGUCCUUUACAUCUCUGUGGGUCCCCAGAGUCCUGCAUAGAGUCUUGCAUGUAGUAGGCCCUCAACAUACAUUUUGCUGAAGGGAUGAAUAUUUAGAUAUUCAGUUUUGACCAUUAUUUAAUUUGCCUUUGCAGUAUUCUCUGGACACAAAAUAUGUAUAUUUCAAAACUGUGCCCUAAAAUGAUAUAUAUGCUUAACUUUUCAGAAAUUUAUUGUUGUAUUUUCAUUUUAGAAGAGAAGGCUGCAACUUUGUAGAAAUGUAUUGUUACUGCUUAUUGAAGCUAAGGGAAUGUCACUGCUCCCAUCAGGCCCCAUCAGGGCUCUCUUUUCUGUGUGUGGGAGGGUACCAGGAACAAAGGUUUCUUCUAAGGUGCCCCCUGGCACUGACAGUGCUCUUCUCUUCCAUUUUCCCUUAUCUGGUAAGGUGCUUUAUUUCUGAAUGUAUCUGAGUGGGUUCUCUGGCCUUCUUUCAUAAGCCUAUUGAGUGGGAGGUGUGGAUCAGUACAUGUGGAAAGGGCCUGAGUCUGCUGCCAAAUCAAGAGGGGGCCUUGAUAGGUUGACCAACUGUUCUGUUUUGCCCAAGACUGUACUAAUUUUGGUACUGAAGUUUCCACAUCUUUGGAAAUCCCUGAGUUCUGAGCAGAGACAGGGCACUUGAUAUGUCACGUCUUGGACUUUUAUGUUGUUCUGGGUUUCAGGUAAAUGCUGAAUUCCUGGAAGUGACAUGGGUUUGAAGAUUGAAAAGGACUGAUACGUUUCUGAUUUUUCUAAUAAUAAUAUGUAAAAUGACAGUCGUAUAGUUUAGAGAUCACUCACCUGGUGGUCUUUGCAAGCUCCAUUCAGACUCACAAACCACAUUUAGAAUCCAUUUACCAGAAGGAUCCAGCUGAGGAACCACAGCUUGACUGGCACAGUGGGGUGAGCAAUUCUCUUCUGUCAGAGGACACGAGAGCUCAGUGGUAGAGCGAAGUUUCAAACUCAAUGUCGUUGCCUUGCUUCUAACCACUGUGCUACGGGCACUCUGCAGUUAACAGUGAUGGAGGUGAUUAGUCAAAGUGUGAUUACUUUUACUGGAGUUGUUUAUUUGUAUUUUUCCAAUCAGUUAUGACUCUCUUAAGGGCAAGAAUCUGGCCUAUUCAACCUUGCAUUCUCCCUGGGACCUAGUGGCUUCUGUGCUAUAGGACAUUCUUUUGGCUUAUUGAGGGGGUGGCCUAGCCUCCUGAAUGUGGAUGUUGAUAUAUAAGAGCCUCAUCAUUGAACAGCCUUCCUUCUCACUUCCCCCUCCUCUCCAUCUUCUUUUUCCUACCAUCACCUUUGGAGUUUACCCUGUCUGUCUCUCAUGGAAAGUGGAUGGAGGAAACAUUAUUUACAUGGGGAUAAAAAAGUCAGGCCUUCCUAAUUCUUGCUGUGUGUGUAGGUGUCUAGAUGUGUGUGCACACACUUUUGUAGAUAGGCAAGAUGAGGGAGACAUAAAGCCUUAUUCAGAUUUAUGUAUCUUUUUAUGUAGACAGAUUUUAAUACUCAGGAACUUAUCUAUUUCUUCAAAACCACCCAGAUUUACUAGGAGGACAAAAAAUGUAUUGCCCUGUUGCCUAAAAGCAGCUGUUCCAGAUGUGUGAAGAGAGGCCAUAUGCAAACAUCCCAAAGUCAUCUGGGAACUGAAGAGAUCACCGACUAGCAAGCAUAUUCAUUCCUCAAAGACACAGGCCAGAUUCACCCGGAAUCACUCAACAGAGAGAAACAUCUCCUAAAGCAGCAAAAAUAACAAGUUGUUUCUAUUGAAAGAAAGCUGAUUACUGAGGUUUUGUUGACCCUGUAGAACUCCUGAAAGAGCAAUUGGAGAGCCGAUUUCAGUUUGUAGACAAGUCUAUGAAGAAUAAGAUAUAACAGCCUAGUCCGAUAGGCCAAAUUUUGGAUUUAUAUUUUAGAGAUAACCCAGAGUGAGGCCUGUUUUAUAAGAUGAGAAACUAAGGACAAAAGUUUUCUAUUGCUGCCACCAUCAUUUUCACCUCCUGUCAUGAUUCUGAGGCCUCCCCAGCCAUGUAGAACUGGAAGAAGGAAGAUUUCUAUUCCUACCAGUGAAGACUCCUGAAGCGUGGGAUACUGUUUUGCUCUUACAAAGACGAAGCGUCAAGAGCAGCCUGGGACAAAUCAUGGGAAAGGCAGGCACGCCUUGAAAAUGAGGAGGAGGUUCACAUUUGGUAUCUGUUCUCGAACUCUUUUAGAAGCUGUUGCUACACUUCAAAACCUGACAGCUCCUGGGCAAACUGUGUGGAUAUUUCAAAGAUUCCAGGUAGCACUGGCAGAAGGGUAAUUGUAUCCUGUGGAGCUUGUGAGAGGAGGUUGGGAGGAUUAUUAGAGUUUAUUAACCAUCCUAAGGAAUUUCCUAUAUACCUUUCUCAGGAACUCUGAAUUUUGCCAUUUACUCCUUGCUGACCCCUUUAACCUUCAGCCUUUUCUUCCUUCCAAUUAAUUUUUAAAUGUUUCUACAAGAAAUCAUAUUACCAAGCUUCUACUUUGACUAAAAUAUUGAAAUGACUACUCAAUACACUGGAGAUUUGACCCUAGGCAUCUUUUUUUUCCCAACCAAUUUUCAUUACUUGCUUGUAAUUUCUACUCUUGUCAAGUGGACAGGGCAUGCCUUUUCUCUGCAUAGCUACUUACCCCCUUUUGCCUGGGAAGUCAUUCAUGCAUUCCACACAGAUUUAUGGCCCCCAACUUCUGGACUGUGCCGGGUAUUAUUGUUUCGACAAAAAUGAUUUUUAUUCCAUCAGUCCCCAAAAGGAUUUCAUAGCAUGAAGAGGACAUAGGCACAUAGGUGUAAUUACAAUACAAAAAAAGGAGUGCCAUCAUGCAGGUGUGAUGAACAAAGGCAGGUGAGGGAUCUCCAGAAGGUGUUGCAGGAAAGGUGGUGCUUGAACACUGUUGCAAAAGAGGAGCAUAUAUUUUUCAUAUAAAAAAAUGGGGGAAAUAGCAAAAAAGCAUGAAAGCAUGAUUUGGGAAAUGGCAAAUAACAGUAGAGUUAGGGAGAUUGCAGUGAGAAAUGAAGCAUGAGGAAGUGAAUAAGCAAAACAUAUUUAGGCACAUUUUUGAAUAGAAAUAAAUCUGAAGAUUCUCUCCAAGGGGGUACAAUGAGUUGAUCUAUAAAGAAAAUUCCCAAUUCAAACUAAAUAAAUGGAGCAUUAAGAAAAAAACACCUUUCUGAGCUCAAUAACAAGAAAUGAAAUCUUUAGUGCUAUGGAUGAAUGGGACCCCCCCAGUGGUGAGUGGGACUUGAAGCCCCAUAAUGUACGGAGUUUCAUAAUGUUGAAGUUGGGACCUAAGUCAUUUGUAUGUCAAGGAAGCAUAAAAUGGGCUCCAGUAUAAACUCGGGAGAAAUUCCAUUUGUCAACUGUAAGGUAAAAUAUAUAAGUAUUUCAUAGAUGGUACUAUGUAGUGUUGUUAUAGUUAGUGCUUUCUAAAUUGUCUUUAUUUUUAGAUUUUAUUUCCUCUUUAAUCCACCAUUUGUUUAGAAAGAGAGCUGAUGUGCUGCUGGGUGAGACUUCCUGUCGGGUAUAAUGAGAACUUUUCUUCUGGGUGCAGGGAUCUUCUUCCUUUUCUAUGGCUGCCAUAACAGGGACACUGGUUUCCAGCCACAGAACUCUCCUUGACAGUCUUUGGUGUCAGAAGUCUCACUUUAGGAAACUGAAUGGGACCUGAGCUCUGAGAGCGGGUAUGGGUAUGGUCAGGACAGUCUCAUCCUUUCAUUGUAUCCACAGAAUACAACUAUCCUUCUUCUACAUGCACCUUUUGGAAUGUCCACACAGUUUGCUGGCAGACUCCCUGACGCCCUAUCUUUUGUCUGUGUGGCUUUUUUCGUCAGUUUGUCCCCACUCACUUUAUUUCUUAUAUUUCUGACAAAUUCUUCACUGUUUUUUUGUCACCUUCGCUCCCUCUACUCCCAUCUUCCUUAGGUUUCUAGUGCUAUUUGGAAUUUAUGUUCACAUUUAUUCUGUGACUUUACUGGAAUUUUCCAAGGGGAGGGAGGUAAAUAUGUAUUUAGUCAAUGACCAGCUAUGUUAUCUAUUCUCUACUUCGUAUCUCUAACCCCUUUGAAACCCAUGGAAACUGUAUUAUUUAAAAAGGUCCUUCCUUAGCCACUGACAAAAAAUAAAAUUGCUUUAAUAACUGGAAGGGUAUUUGCUACACUUAUUUGGUAUUUAGAAUGGCACCAUUCCUUCUGGGGUAAUCUCUGGAAUGCCAUUUUGUCCCUUUGUCUUGAAGGUUCUAUCUGCUGCAAUGUAGAUGUCACAGGUUACAUGCCUGUCAUCUUAGUGAGGUACUUCAGAAUGGCAUUACUGACCAUGACUUACAAGUCAUGAUCAAUUUAGCAAAGGUAGGGCAUUCGUGGUAGACUAUGAGAUAGCUUCGGUUUUUAUGGCUGUGUAAUGUGAUGUUUAUGUACCUGUUUUUCAAAGCCUAGAACAAAAAAAUAGAUUCAAAGAUGCUAUUUAGAGAGCCGUAUAAAUGAUUCCUGGAAUCCAGGAACCUGAUAAAUCUGAUUCAAACCUGAGAAAAACAAAUUUCAGCAGAGCAGAGUUAAAGUGGCCUGCGGCAGCAAAGGAGGAGGCUACAUUUGAAAAGAGACCGCCUUCCCCUGAGAACAGGUCAGGAGUUCAUGUUUCCCAGGGACCAGAUAAGGAAUCUGUAGGAGAAGUGUCUGUGUAGGGCUAUAUAAAAAUGGACCCGUGCCCAAGAGGGCUUCCUGCAAAGACUGAAGGGACCUCAGCCAACACAGGCUUCAGUGUUCUAUUCAGAUGCAGCGCUGUGAGAGAGCCAUGAGCAGCAAGCCCAGGGAGAGAUGCUGUCCACACUACAUGCUCCACAGGCACAUGCAGGAGAGAGCUUCCGACAUCUGCCAGCAACAGAGGAAAUCAACACCAGAUGACACUGGUUUCCUGCACCAUAUCUCUCCCACCACUGGGUGUGCCACUGGCUAUCCACCAAGUGGAGUUAGAGAAAUGGAAUUUCUAGGCAAGGAAAUGGAGCAGUCAAUUGUUCCCAUUCCUUCCACUGUAAGCUUCCAACCUAAGGUGGGGACAUGGGGAGAUGCUUGAAGUCUAAAUGCAGUACCGAGCCUGAAAUUAGUAUCUGUUACCUGUUAGGCCCUCUGUUGAAGCAAGAUCUCCUAGCAAUUAAAAUAUCCAGAGAGAGUCUUAAUAAACACUUUUAAAGAAUGUCCAGAAAAUCCAUGGGAUCUGUCUGGAAUUUCCUCAAGGAAAGAAAAAGAAAUACAAGUUCCUCAUGAGAGCACUUUUCUUGUUUUCUCAGUAUUAUACUUGUUCAAAGAAGCAUUAUUACAGAGACAAAUUCUACCCACCCUUCUUGGGGCUAGCUUGCAACAUUGCUGGGGACCAGUUCAGAUUGCUUUCUGGCCAGGGGGAGUUUUUUUAGAGUCUAGGGGAUGAUAAACCAGGAACUGAGACUCUCAGUCCUGCCAUGCCCUUUGUCACAGCUCUGAAUUUGGUGCUUUAUCAUUUUCAUUAGUUCAGGGAGUUGAGCUAUUUGUCAUUUUUUUAGCAUUAAAACAUAGGUAUGAAGGUAGAAAAUGAAGAUCUCUAUCUAUUUCUAUACUUUUUAAAGUGAGUCUCUUG